AUAGAUUAUUUAAUAUUAUAGGGUAGAAUAAACGGAAAGAAGAGGAACAAACUUCGUAACAACUAUUUUUGCGAAGGUCCAUCUCAAAUCGGCGAAAGCGGCCAAAGUGCAUUCGAAAAAUUCAAAAUGGCGACGCGUUUGUUGCUCCUUUCAUUUUGUGAUCGUUUUAAGGAGCUUCUAAAUCUCAUUUGACUCAGUUUUUGCAAAAGAUUCCUUGUUUACCAGUUGCUUAUAUGAUUGUGCAGCGUAUUAACAUGAAAGUUGGUUUAGUGUGCGUUUAAAGUGGAAGUGGUUCUUAGAUGUUGGUUCUUUAAGAAUUCCUUUUUGGCGCUCCUUUGAAAACACCGUUACGAUGCUACUAGUAAUAUGGACUGUUUUUAAUAACGUAUGUAUUUAUGUACUAUUUAUGUAUGCAUGUUUAUGUACUUAUGUAUUAUUAAGUAAUUCAUUCAGAAAAGAACAGGAACGAGAACGCUUUAGUCGGUGCUGCGUUACCCGUUACUUCGCAUGUAUACAUAUAUAUUUGCAAGAAUUGAAAUGCACUGCUUAGCAAGUGCACUGCUUAGCAAGUGCGUUAAAAGUGGAAUUGGUUCUUAAAUGUUGGUUCUUAAAGAAUUCCUUUUUGGCGCUCCUUUGAAAACACCGUUACGAUGCUACUAGUGAUUUGAACUACUUUUUAUAACGUAUGUAUGUACUAUUUAUGUACGCAUGUAUUAUGUACUUAUGUAUUAUUAAGUAAUUCAUUCAGAAAAGAACAGGAACGAGAACGCUUUAGUCGGUGCUGCGUUACCCGUUACUUCGCAUGUAUACAUAUAUAUUUGCAAGAAUUGAAAUGCACUGCUUAGCAAGUAGUAAACUGACUGCUUGGCAAGCAGCAAUCGAUUGCUUUAAAGAUUGCUUCAAG